UUUGAUCGACCCCAACCACAGCGGUUCGUCGACCGGGCGGUCCUGGCCGUAGGUCGCCAACAGCGCUUGGGCCUC
rfam:Mycobacterium avium subsp. paratuberculosis str. k10, complete genome.